rnacentral:rRNA from 1 species
UACAGAGGGGGCAAGCGUUGUUCGGAAUUACUGGGCGUAAAGCGUGCGUAGGCGGUUCGUUAAGUCAGCUGUGAAAGCCCCGGGCUCAACCUGGGAACUGCGGUUGAAACUGGCGAACUAGAAUCUGGCAGAGGGGGGUGGAAUUCCACGUGUAGCAGUGAAAUGCGUAGAGAUGUGGAGGAACACCGAUGGCGAAGGCAGCCCCCUGGGCUGAGAUUGACGCUCAGGCACGAAAGCGUGGGGAGCAAACAGG